AUGCUAGCUUUGUCAAUACUUAUACUAAAAUUGGAACAUUUCAGAACAGAUUAGCAUGGCCCUUGUGCAAAAAUUACGUACAAAUUCGAGAAGCAGUCUACAUUUUU
rnacentral:snRNA from 1 species